rnacentral:rRNA from 1 species
GAGUUUGAUCCUGGCUCAGAUUGAACGCUGGCGGCAGGCCUAACACAUGCAAGUCGAGCGGUAGAGAGAAGCUUGCUUCUCUUGAGAGCGGCGGACGGGUGAGUAAUGCCUAGGAAUCUGCCUGGUAGUGGGGGAUAACGCUCGGAAACGGACGCUAAUACCGCAUACGUCCUACGGGAGAAAGCAGGGGACCUUCGGGCCUUGCGCUAUCAGAUGAGCCUAGGUCGGAUUAGCUAGUUGGUGAGGUAAUGGCUCACCAAGGCGACGAUCCGUAACUGGUCUGAGAGGAUGAUCAGUCACACUGGAACUGAGACACGGUCCAGACUCCUACGGGAGGCAGCAGUGGGGAAUAUUGGACAAUGGGCGAAAGCCUGAUCCAGCCAUGCCGCGUGUGUGAAGAAGGUCUUCGGAUUGUAAAGCACUUUAAGUUGGGUAGGAAGGGC